UAGUUCUUUAAGGUUUAUUGUUAGAUUGCUUAUUUGAAGUUUUUUCUCUUUUUUGAUGUAGGCACUUAUCACUAUAAAUUUGCCUCUUAGUAUUGCUUUGCUAUAUCCCAGAGGCUUUGGUAUGUUGUGUUUCCUCAUUCAUUUCAAGAAAUUGAUCAAUUUCCUUCUUAAUUUCUUCAUUGACUCAGUAGUCAUUCAGGAGCAUAUUGUUUAAUUUUCAUGUAUUUGUAUAGUUUCUGAAAUUCUUCUUGGUAUUAACUUCUAGCUGUAUAUGAUGCUUGAUAUUUUUCAACUUUUUAACGUUUUAAGACUUGCGACCUAACAUACGAUCUAUCCUUGAGAAUGAUACACAUUGAAUAAAAUAUUCUGUAAGUAUGUAUCAGGUCUGUUUGAUCUAUAGUGUAGAUUAAGUCUGAUGUUUCUUUUUUGAUUUUCUGUCUGGAAGAUAUGUCCAAUGCUGAAAAUGUGGUGCCGAAGUCUCCAGCUAUUAUUGUAUUGGGGUCGCUCUCUCUCUUUAGCUCUAAUCAUAUUUGCUUUAUAUAUCUGGGUGCUCCAGUGUUGUGUGUAUAUAUAUAUUUAUAUUUGUUAUAUCCUCUUUCUGAACUGAACCCUGUAUUAGUCUAUUCUUGCACUACUAUAAAGAAAUACCUGAGACUGGGUAAUACAUAGAGAAAAGAAGUUUAAUUGGCUCACAGUUCUGCAGGCUGUACAGAAAGCAUGACUGAAGAGACCUUCAGAACACUUACACUUACAAUUAUGGCAGAAGGUGAAGGGGAGGUGGGCAUGUCUUAGAUGGCUGGAGCAGCAGGAAGGUGGGAGAAAGUGCCACACACUUUUAAACAAUCAGAUUUCACAAUAACUCACUGUCAUGAGAACAGCACCCAGGGGGAUGGUGUUAAACCAUGAGAAGCCACCCCAUGAUACAAUCAUCUUCUACCAGGCCCCACCUCCAACAUUUAGGAUUAUAAUUGAACAUGAGAUUUUGGUGGGGGAUGCAGAUUCAAACCCUAUUAUUCCACCCCUGGCCUCUCCAAAUCUUAUGUCUUUCUGAUACUGCAAAAUACAGUCAUGCCUUCCCAACAGUCUCUCAAAGUGUUAACUCAUUCCAGCAUUAAUUCCAAAGUCCAAAGUCUUACAUGAAACAAGGCAAGUCCCUCCCACCUGUGAACCUGUAAAAUUAAAAGUAGUUACUUUCAACACACAGUGGGGGUACAGGAAUUGGGUAAAUACUCCCAUUUGAAAAGUGAGAAAUUGGCCAAAGGAAAGAGGCUACAGGGCCCGUGCAAGUCUGAAACUCAGCAGGGUAGUCAUUAAAUCUUAAAGCUCCAAAAUAGUCUCCUUUGACUCCAUGUCUCACAUCCAGGGAACACUGGUGCAAGGCGUGGGCUCUUAAGGCCUUGGGCAGCCCCUGGAACUUUGCAGGGUACAGCCACUGUGGCUGCUUUCAUGAGCUGGCAUCAAGUGCCUUGGCUUUUCCAGAUGCACUGUGCAAGCUGUCAUUGGCAGAUCUGCCAUCCUGGGGUCUGGGGGGCAGUGGCCCUCUUCUCACAGUUCCACUAGUACCCCAGAGGGGAAUCUGUGUAGGAGCUCCAACCCCAAAUUUCCCCUCCACUCUGCCCUAGUAGAGGUUCUUCAUAGACAACCAGGCUUCCCAACAUAUACGCUGAAAACUAGGUGGGGUCUCCCAAACUUCAAUUCUUGCCCCCUGUGCAUCGACAGGCUUAAUUUAACACCACAUGGGAGCCACCAAGGCUUACAACUUGCACCCUUUGGAGCAGCAACCUGAGCUGUACAUGUGGCCUUUUGAGCUGAAACUGCAGCUGGGGCAGCUGGGAUUUGGAGAGAGGUUUCCUGAGGCUGUGCAAGGCAGCAGGAUCCUGAGCCUGGCCCAGGAAACCAUUCUUCCCUCAUAGCCCUUUGUGCCUGUGAAGGGAGAGGCUGCCACAAGGUAUCUGAAAUGCCUUCAAGGUGUUUAUCCAUUCUUAGCUAUCAUCAUUUGGUUCCUUGUUACUUGCAAUUUUCUGCAGCUAGCUUGAAUUCCUCUCCAGAAAACAGGGUUUUCUUUCACUCUGCUUCCCUUUUAUUUUUUGUUAUUGCAUCUUAGGUUUUGGGUUACAUGUGAAGAACAUGCAAGAUAGUUGCAUAGGUACACACGUGGCAGUGUGAUUUGCUGUCUUCCUCCCCUUCACCUAUAUCUGGCAUUUCUCCCCAUGCUAUCUCUCCCCAACUGCCCCCCCCCGGUGUCCCUCCCCUAUUCCCCCCAACAGACCCCACUGUGUCCAUGUGUUCUCAUUGUUCAACACCCACCUCUGAGUGAGAACAUGCGGUAUUUCAUUUUCUGUUCUUGUGUCAGUUUGCUGAGAAUGAUGUUCUCCAGGUUCAUCCAUGUCCCUAGAAAGGACACGAACUCAUCAUUUUUGAUGGCUGCAUAAUAUUCCAUGGUGUAUAUGUGCCACAUUUUCCCUGUCCAGUCUAUCAUCAAUGGGCAUUUGGGUUGGUUCCAGGUCUUUGUUAUAAAACAGGGCUGCAAUGAACAUUCCUGUGCAUGUGUCCUUAUAGUAGAAUGAUUUACGAUCCUUUGAAUAUAUACCGAGUAAUGGGAUUGUUGGGUCAAAUGGAAUUUCUAUAUCUAGGUCCUUGAGGAAUCGCCACACUGUCUUCCACAAUGGUUGAACUAAUUUACACUCCCACCAACAGUGUAAAAGUGUUCCUAUUUCUCCACAUCCUCUCCAGCAUUUGUUGUCUCCAGAUUUUUUAAUGAUCGCCAUUCUAAUUGGCGUGACUACUCAAUGUAGUUUUGGCAAAACUAUUCAAUGUAGUUUUGAUUUGCAUUUCUCUAAUGGCCAGUGAUGAUGAGCAUUUUUUCAUAUGUUUGUUGACCUCAUGUAUGUCUUCUUUUGUAAAGUAUCUGUUCAUAUCCUUUGCCCACUUUGGAAUGGGCUUGUUUGCUUUGUUCUUGCAAAUCUGUUUUAGUUCUUUGUAAAUUCUGGAUAUCAGCCCUUUGUCAGAUGGGUAAACUACAAAAAUUUUUCCCAUUCUGUUGGCUGCCAAUUCACUCUAAUGACUGUUUCUUUUGCCGUGCAGAAGAUGUGGAGUUUGAUUAGGUCCCAUUUGUCUAUGUUGGCUUUUGUUGCCAAUGCUUUUGGUGUUUUGGUCAUGAAGUCCUUGCCUACUCCUAUGUCCUGGAUGGUUUUGCCUAGAUUUCCUUCUAGGGUUUUUAUGGUGCCAGGUCUUAUGUUUAAGUCUUUAAUCCAUCUGGAGUUAAUUUUAGUGUAAGGUGUCAGGAAGGGGUCCAGUUUCUGCUUUCUGCACAUGGCUAGCCAGUUUUCCCAACACCAUUUAUUAAACAGGGACUCCUUUCCCCAUUGCUUGUUUUUGUCAGGUUUGUCAAGGAUCGGAUGGUUGUGGAUAUGUUGUGUUGCCUCUGAGGCCUCUGUUCUGUUCCAUUGGUCUAUAUCUCUGUUUUGGUACCAGUACCAUGCUGAUUUCAUUACUGUAGCCUUGUAUAGUUUGAAGUCCAGUAGUGUGACACCUCCCGCUGUGUUCUUUUUGCUUAGAUUGACUUGACUAUGUGGGCUCUCUUUUGGUUCCAUAUGAAGUUUCAGGUGGUUUUUUCCAGUUCUGUGAAGAAGGUCAUUGGUAGCUUGAUGGGGAUAGCAUUGAAUCUAUAAAUUACUUUGGGCAAUAUGGCCAUUUUCACAAUAUUAAUUAUUCCUAACCAUGAACAUGGAAUGAUUUUUCAUCUGUUAGUGUCCUCUCUUAUUUUGUUGAUCAGUGGUUUGUAGUUCUCCUUGAAGAGGUCCUUUACAUUCCUUGUUAGGUAUUUUAUUCUCUUUGUAGCAAUUGUGAGUGGCAGUUCAUUCUUGAUUUGGCUUUAAGUCUGUUAUUGGUGUAUAGGAAUGCUUGUGAUUUUUGCACAUUGAUUUUGUUUUAUGAGACUUUGCUGAAGAUGCUUAUCAGUUUCAGGAGAUUUUGGGCUGAGACGAUGGGGUCUUCUAGAUAUACAAUCAUAUUGUCUGCAAAUGGAGACAAUUUGGCUUCCUCCUUUCCUAUCUGAAUACCCUCUAUUUGUUUUUCUUGCCUGAUUGCUCUGGCAAGAACUUCCAGUUCUAUAUUGAAUAGGAGUGGUGAAAGAGGGCAUCCUUGUCUAGUGCCGGAUUUCAAAGGGAAUGCUUCCAGUUUUUGCCCAUUCUGUAUAAUACUGGCUGUUGGUUUGUUGUAAAUAGCUUUUAUUAUUUUGAGAUACGUUCCAUCAAUACCUAGUUUAUUGAGAGUUUUUAGCAUAAAGCACUGUUGAAUUUUGUCAAAGGCCUUCUCUGCAUCAAUUGAGAUAAUCAUGUGGUUUUUGUCUUUGGUUCUGUUUAUGUAGUGAAUUACGUUUAUAGAUUUGCAUAUGUUGAACCAGCCUUGCAUCCCUGGGAUGAAUGCUACUUGAUCAUGGUCAAUAAGUUUUUGAUGUGCUGUUGCAAUCAGCUUGCCAGUAUUUUAUUGAAGAUUUUUGCAUCUAUGUUCAUCAUGGAUAUUGGCCUGAAGUUUUCUUUUCUUGUUGAGUCUCUGCCAGGUUUUGGUAUCAGGAUGAUGUUGGUCUCAUAAAAUAAUUUGGGAAGGAUUCCCUCUUUUUGGAUUAUUUGGAAUAGUUUCAGAAGAAAUGGUACCAGCUCCUCUUUGUGUGUCUGGUAGAAUUCGGCUGUGAACCCUUCUGGACCUGGGCUUUUUUUGUGUGGUAGGCUCUUAAUUGUUGCCUCAACUUCAGAUCUUGUUAUUGGUCUAUUCAGGGUUUUGACUUCUUCCUGGUUUAGGCUUGGGAGGAGGCAAGUGUCCAGGAAUUUAUCCAUUUCUUCCAGGUUUGGUAGUUGAUGUGCAUAGAGUUGUUUGUAAUAUUCUCUGAUGAUGGUUUGAAUUUCUGUGGAAUCUGUGGUGAUUUCCCCUUUAUCGUUUUUUAUUGCAUCUAUUUGGUGAUUCUCUAUUUUCUUUUUUAUUAAUCUGGCUAGUGAUCUAUCUAUUUUGUUGAUCUUUUUGAAAAACCAGCUCCUGGAUUUAUUGACUGUUUUGAAGGGUUUUUCGUGUCUCUAUCUCCUUCAGUUCUUCUCUGGUCUUAGUUAUUUCUUGUCUUCUGUUAGGUUUUUAGUUUUUUUUAUCUUGCCCCGCUAGCUCUUUCAAUUUUGAUGAUAGAGUGUCAUUUUGGAUCUCUCCUUGCAUCUCAUGUGGGCACUUAUUGCUAUAUAUUUUCCUCUAGAGACUGCUUUAAAUGUGUCCCAGAGAUUCUGGUAUGUUGUGUCUUCAUUCUCGUUGGUUUCGAAUAACAUCUUUAUUUCUGCCUUCAUUUCAUUGUUUAUCCAGUGAACAUUCAAGAGCCAGUUGUUCAGUUUUCAUGAAGCUGUUUGGUUCUGAGUUAGUUUUUGAAUUCUGAGUUCUAACUUGAUUGCACUGUGGUCUGAGAGAUGGUUUGUUAUGAUUUCUAUUCUUUUGCAUUUACUGAGGAGUGAUUUACUUCCAAUUAUGUGGUCAAUUUUAGACUAGGUGUGAUGUGGUGCUGAGAAGAAUAUAUAUUCUGUGGAUUUGGCGUGGAGAGUUCUGUAAAUGUCUAUUAGGUUUGCUUGUUCCAGGUCUGAGUUCAAGUCCUGGAAAUCCUUGUUAAUUUUCUGUCUGGUUGAUCUAUCUAAUAUUGACAAUUGGGUGUUAAAGGCUCCCACUAUUAUUGUGUAGGAGUCUGAGUCUCUUUGCAAGUCAUUAAGAACUUGCCAUAGGUAACUAGGUGCUCCUGUAUUGGGUGCAUAUAUAUUUAGGAUUGUUAGCUCUUCUUGUUGCAUCAAGAGCCUUUUACCAUUAUGUAAUGUCUUUCUUUAUCUCUUUUGAUCUUUGUUGCUUUAAAGUCUAUUUUAUCAGAGACGAGAAUUGCAACUCCUACUUUUUUUGCUCUCCAUUUGCUUGGUAAAUCUUCCUCCAUCCCUUUAUUUUGAGCCUUUGUGUAUCCUUGCAUGUGAGAUGCAUUUCCUGGAUACAGUACACCAAUGGGUUUUGGCUUUUUAUCCAGUUUGCCAGUCUGUGUCUUUUGAUUGGGGCAUUUAGUCCAUUUACAUUUAGGGUUAAUAUUGUUAUGUGUGAAUUUGAUACUGCCAUUUUGAUGCUAGCUGGCUGUUUUGCCCAUUAGUUGAUGCAGAUUCUUCAUUUUGUUGAUGCUCUUUAGCAUUUGGUAUGUUUUUGGAGUGGCUGGUACUGGUUGUUCCUUUCUAUGUGUAGUGCCUCUUUCAGGAGCUCUUGUAAAGCAGGCCUGGUGGUGACAAAAUCUCUGAGUACUUCCUUGUUCGCAAAGGAUUUUAUUUUUCCUUCACUUAUGAAGCUCAGUUUGGCUGGAUAUGAAAUUCUGGGUUGAAAGUUCUUUUUUUUAAGGAUGUCGAAUAUCAGCCCCCACUCUCCUCUGGCUUGUAGGGUUUCUGCUGAGAGAUCUGCUGUGAGUCUGAUGGGCUUCCCUUUGUGGGUAACCCGACCUUUCUCUCUGGCUGCCCUUAGCAUUUUCUCCUUCAUUUCAACCCUGGUGAAUCUGAUGAUUAUGUGCCUUGGGAUUGCUCUUCUUGAGGAAUAUCUUUGUAGUGUUCUCUGUAUUUCCUGGACUUGAAUAUUGGCCUGCCUUAUUAGGUUGGGGAAGUUUUCCUGGAUAAUAUCCUGAAGAGUAUUUUUCCGCUUGGAUUCAUUCUCUUCGUCACAUUCAGGUACACCUAUCAAACGUAGAUUAGGUCUUUUCACAUAGUCCCAUAUUUCUUGGAGACUUUGUUCAUUCCUUUUUGUGCUUUUUUUCUCUAAGCUUGCCUUCUCGUUUUAUUUCGUUGAGUUGAUCCUCGACCUCUGAUAUCCUUUCUUCUGCUUGGUCAAUUCAGCUGUUGAAACUUGUGCAUGCUUCGCAAAGUUCUCUUAUUGUGUUUUUCAGCUCCAUCAAUUCACUUAGAUGCCUCUCUAAGUUGUGCAUUCUCAUUAGCAUUUCAUCAAAUCAUUUUUCAAAGUUCUUAGUUUCUUUGCAUUGGGUUAGAACAUGUUCUUUUAACUCACAAAAGUUUCUCAUUACCCACGUUCUCAAGUCUGAUUCUGUAAUUUCAUCACACUCAUUCUCCAUCCAGCUUUGUUCCCUUGCCGGUGAGGAGUUGUGAUCCCUUGUAGGAGGAGAGGUGUUCUAGUUUUGGGUGUUUUCCUCCUUUUUGCGCUGGUCUCUUCCCAUCUUUGUGGAUUUAUCCACCUGUCAUCUUUGUAGUUGCUGAUUUUCAGAUUGGGUCUCUGAGUGGAGGCCCAGAUUGUUGAAGAUGAAGUAUUUCUCUUUCUUAUGUUUCCUUCUAACAGUCUGGCCCCUCUGCUGUAGGACUGCUGAGGUCCACUCCAGGCCCUGCUUGCCUGGGGAUCACCUGCGGCAGCUGCAGAACAGUAAGGGUUGCUACCAGUUUCUUCUUCUGCUAUCUUUGUCCCAGAAUGAUGCCCGCCAAAUAUCAGUCUCAUCAGUCCUUUGUGAGGUGACUCUUUGGAUAUAUGGGGGUCAGAGAGCUGCUUGAGGAGACAGUCAGUCCUUUAUAAGAGUUCAAGUGCUGAGCUGUGAGCUCUGUUGUUCCAAGCUGCUGGGCAGGUGCAUUUAAGUCUGCUGCACAGAACUCAUAAACCCCUGUUUUUUCCCUAGGUGCUCUGUCCCAGGAAGUUUGGGCUUUAUUUAUGAGUUUCCAUUGUGCUGCUGUUUUGUUUUUUUUUUUCAGGGCUGCCCUGCCCAGCAAGGAGGCAGCCUAGUCACUGUCUGCCUGCAGAGGCUUUGCUGAGCUGCUGUGGGCUCCACCCUGCUGCAAUGUGAACUUCCCUGCAGUCCUGUUUAUAUGGGUGUGGUUAGAACUUCCUCGGCAAUGGUGACCCACCUCUGUAAUGGCGGGCUCUCUCUGUAGUGGCAGGUUGCCUCGACAAUGGUGGUGCUGCCUCAGCAAUGGUGGACUACCUCCAUAGGGGGUGGAGUGCCUCAGCAAUGAUGGACGUCCCUGGUUCACCUGUGCUUGCCAUGAAACUCUCAACCCAGGACAUUUCCAAUUGCUAUUUCUGUGUGUCUGUGUGUGUGUGUGUGUGUGUGUGUGUGUGUGACCCACCGAGCCUAAUCACCUGACUCCCUGCCUCAGAGCCUUUUUUUUUUUUUAAGUUGAACGGUUGACUCUCUCCCAGGUGUUCCAGUAUCCUGCUGAAAAGGGGCCAGGAUCUGUGUGAUUUCCUGUACGGCGACCCACUGCGCAAGCUGAAACAAUUGCACUGCCUGGGGAAUCUCCUGGCCUGGCUCCCUGUUUCUGUCCCGUUUAAUCAGAUGAAUGGGUGACUCUGCCUUCCCGGAGCUCCAAUCGCCAGCUUAAAAGGGCAACCAGACCAGUGUAUUUUGUAUGGAGAACUGCCAUGCUGGCCAAAAUAGCUGUGCUGGCAACCCAUGGGGCUCCUCUGCCUGGGAAUCUCCUGGUCUGUGGGCAAUAAAGAUCCAUCUGGAAAUGUGGUGUCCACUCACCCUCUGCGCUUUCACUGGGAGCUGCAAUCCUGAGCUUCUCCUAAACUGCCAUCUUGGAUCUCCUCUCUCUCUGCUUCCCUUUUAAAUCACAUUCUAAAGUUAUUUUUGAGAACGACAAGCAAGAAUAAAAGAGAACUGUGUCAGUCCAUGAUCACCUAAAGAACUGCCCUGCAUCUGUCAUCCGAUAGCAGCAGAAGCAGGAGGAAGAUGAGGAGAGGCAGAGUCUGAUUCCGCUGGAAUGAGUAAGGGAUCUGGUGUGUAAAGAGGAAAGGAAGUGAAAGAAUAAAGACACAAAUAUAAUGCCUGAGUUCUCACUACCUCCUCCCAGGCAAAACCCUUCAUAUUGCAGGAGACAGAAUUCCAGAAGCCAUCGACAUGGAUAGAGGCCAAAAGACACCUUCUACCAAAGGUUGAGGUAUCCACAUCAGUCAGCAGUGGCUUCUGCAACAGCAGCCACAGAAAGUGAGUAAUGUAAAUUAAAGGAUAAAGAUGUAUAGGAAGUCCUCUUUUCUCACCUGGAGAAGGAAGAAAACAGGAAAAAAAUAAGGUCAACUCCACGAUCAAGGUAGAGCUGCUCUAUAAUCUGAGGUGGCCAAUGACUGACACAAACCACCUUGCCUUUCUGUGACUCAGCUCUCCUGUAAAGGAGAAACCACACUGACCCCGGAUCAAACUUCCAUAACAGAAAUGAUGACCUUGGAUUUCAAGAAGGAACAAAUGACCUCUGCUAAUGCAGAUAAAGAGGCCACAAUUUUUUCAGGAUUUCUCAGGGAAAACAGUCUCAUUCUUUGGCCUCUAUUACCCAGGGGCCCAGAUGACCCCGUGUCCCUGAGAUGGACAUGGCUUUCCCAUGGCCUCUUAUGAGAACCUGCCCAGCAAUAAGUUUUUAAUUACCAGAGUCAGUGGUUCCUAUCAUUGAUUGAGCUUACUAAUUGGACAAUGAGGGGGUCAUAUGUGGCUGUCUCCAGCCAUCACACCAAGGUGACACUUGAGCAUGACAUGAGAUGUGCAUUCUCCACAAUCAACUGGAUCUGUCCCACUGCUUCCCAGCAGGAGCAGAAGCAUGCUGUGCCAGUUCCUAAACGUCAUCAUUUCCUUUCAACCAACAGCCCUCCCCUGCCCAGAUUUCCCACCAUCUAAAGCAGCAAUCCUCAAAUGCUAGUGUGCACAAGGUUCUAAGGCACUUGCUGAAAAUGUAGAUUCCUGCACCAACCCCAGAGAACCAGAAGCAAUCCCUAUAGGGUAGGACUUGAGAAUUUGCUUUUAGAAAAGAUCUUAUAUGUUUCUGGAUAACACUUAAAGAUGAUCCUAAAACAGUGCUUCUGGAAAUUUUAAUAUGUAAGCAAAUUGAGAGCAGCUUGUUAAAAUGCAGACCUUUAAAAAUUUAGUACGGGCCUGAAAUUCUGCACUCAGAAGUUCUCACAGAAACUGAUGCUGCUAGUCCUUUUGGCUACACUUUGAGUCACCAGCACCCAAAGGACUCCCGGCCUAUAUCUGGGCCUAAGAGAGCAACACUGUCACAGAUAAACACAGUUUCAACCUUCCCUGAUUCUCUGUGGAGUAGAAUCUCCCUCCUACCUCCAGUCAGACAGGUCCCCAUGGAUAAGGGGGUUCUGUUCUGCCUUGUGUGUCCUCAGUUCCCCUCUACUGAACUCUGUUCUGAUCUCAAGCUUCCACUAGCUCUGCUAUUAGAAGUGCUGAACACUGAUUUUCUUUUGAGUAUAAAGUUGUUAAAAGAAAAGAGAAACAUAUCUGAGGCUGUAGAGUUUCCAUUUAUAGACAUCAAGAAAUGAGUAUGAACUGUUAGGCAUUCCUCAGGAGGUAGACUGUUAUUUAAAGAUCCUCCCAAAUUUGAGACCUCAAAUUCUUUCAGGUGAUAUUCAUAUUACUUUUUUUUUUUUAACUUAGAAAGUGCGUUGUCGUUAAGUUUUCUCCUGAAAUAACUGCAAAGAUGAAGCGUGGCCUCUUUCGAUAGUCAUAAUUUUUGUUUUAGGGUUAAAAAGACUCCCCUAAAGACAGAAAAUUGUACCUAAUGAUACAGCCUAGAGCUCAUGCUGUUCCUUUAGUCGAUGGUACCUUCUGCCUCUUGCUCAAAUGAACUCUGGUCACUGAUGCACCUCCAGUUCUCACAGCUUAGUAAAUUAUGGACUAGUGAUCACAUGUCUAUGUCCCUACUUCCCCAACCAAAUUCUCUGAGCUAUGCCAGGGUGAGGAUCUGACCCUUUUCAUCUUGGAAUUCCCAACGAGUCUAUGGUGGAGUGCAGAGAUGACCACUAAAUGAAAGAAUCACUUGUACUGGUUGAAACAAUACCAAUAAACACCUUAGGCUCUGUGGUGAACACAGAUCAGUAAAUAAAUGUUGGGCAAUCUUCCA